rnacentral:rRNA from 1 species
UACAGAGGUCCCGAGCGUUGUUCGGAUUCACUGGGCGUAAAGGGUGCGUAGGUGGUGAGGUAAGUCGGAUGUGAAAUCUCCGGGCUUAACCCGGAAACUGCAUUGGAAACUACCUUGCUGGAGGGUUUGAGGGGGGAGCUGGAAUUCGUCGGUGUAGCAGCUGAAAUGACGUAGAUAUCGAGAGGAACACCGGUGGCGAAGGCGAGUCCCUGGAAAACACCUGACACUGAGGCACGAAAGCUAGGGGAGCAACAGG